UCGAGCGCGGCGGCCAGAGCCACGGCGAACGGGGCGACGCUCAGCAGAAGGCAGCCGAGGCGAGUUUUAGGUAUUAACUGUGUAGUUGAAGAGUGUUGUUCUAAAAGCUGACCUGCCAAUUAGCUUUGGAGGAAGAUUGUUAAAGUUUAAGAGACCAGUGAAAGGAGACCGGAGAGCUCGAGCUCAGUUAACAGCCAAAGAUAUACAACAGAAUUUAUGAAAGACUGCACAUAAACAAAGGCUGACAAGCAAUCGAUGUGCAAAAGAAGACAAACUGUGAAUAAAACAACACUGAGAACAUGAGGGGCAGAGCUUUUCAGAGCGAGUCUGCAGAUUGUGAAAUCUUCUCAGAGUUGUGGCAGGUGAAGUUACCCGGUAGAGGAGCCUGAUAAUUGAAGGGGAGCAACAGCUCCUGAACAUGGUGGUUUGCGACCAAAGGCUCCAUGGUUGCAGUGAGAGGAGAACGUGUCCUGGCGUGGGGGUCCUUAAUGAUGGACGCUGCUUUCUCGUGGCAGUGCUCCAUUGUAGAUCUGCUGAAUGGUGGUGAGGAGCUUUGCUUGUGGUGCACAUUGUCUUCUCAAAGACAAAGGAUGGGGCAAUCGGAUUCAGAAUCAGACUUAUUAUCACUGACAAAAUGUCCUGAUAUUUGUUGUUUUGUGACAGUACAGUGCAAUACAUAGAAAGAUUACUGUACAUUACAAUUUUAAAAGUAUUUGACUAUCAUGUA